rnacentral:lncRNA from 1 species
GGCUCGGGAGCUGAGCGAGAGAAGUGGAGGGCAGGGCAACCAAUGCCGGCUGCCACAGCACCCCCUGUAGGGCCGAAUGAGCGGCGUCCGUCCCGCGGCACUCGGGUGAACCGCAGCUUCCUUCAACAAAGAUUAAGCGACUCUGCGAUAGGCGCUGCAGAUACGAGGAAGGAGGCGACAGGGCCUAGCUGUCACACAGCUUGGUGAAGAAGCCAGGAGACAUAAACACAAGAGUGCAACGGAAAACUUUAUAUGAUAAACAUUUAUGUCGGGUUAGUGAAGCGCAAAGGAAGAACGAUCACUUGUGGGUGGGCGGAGGCUCACAGAAGCGGCGCAAGCUCAACAGGUGGGCAAGGAAGAGCAGAACGCGUAGACCCAUUUUAGAUCUGCAGUGUAUGUCAGAUGACUGGUGUUUAGGAGAUGAGGAAGAAGCCAUAUAAUCACUUAUGCAAGGAUAAGAAAUCUGAUCCUCCAAGCAGGAGGAUCGCUUGAGCCCAGGAGUUCGAGGCUGCAGUGAGCCAUGAUCGCGCUACGCACCCAGCUUGGGCAUCAGAGCAAGACACUGUCGCAAAAGUGAAGAAAAAAUAAAGAAGAUGGCCUGAAGGGGACACCAGGCAGAGCCCUUUCUAUCUCUUUUUCAGAAAAAUCCCAAGGAACAAUUGUUUUGGAUUACUUAGUGGACUCAGCGUGGAAACUGCUUGUGUGGCCCAGCUAGGUAGGGGCGUUCAGACAAGGAGACCUGACCUGGAGCUUCUGGGAUGAUUCCAAGGGCAUCUGUGCAGGUGUCUGCAUAUUAGCAGCACCAUCUGCUUGGUUGUCUCUCAAAGGAAGAAGAAUCCUGGCCUGAUGAACUCCUCAAGCUCUCUUCUUUGGGAAAUAGGAAGAUCACAAUUUGAAAUCUUAAUCCAAGAUUGAAAGCUGGUUGCCAUCUUUGCAAUGCCUCCCAGCUGAUGCUUCAACAGGCUACUCCACCAUUCUCUCAGACUGGGUAGUAUGAUACUGUUACUGAAACACCAGAGGUUUGGUCUACGUCCUGCUGCUCGCUGCACAGAAAGCCAAUGACAGAGACAACGAGUAUUACCAAGGAAUAAGCAAAAAAGAAGAAGGAAGAAGAAGGAGUCGUGCUAUAGCCUUCUGUAGCUACAGAUCGGGUGCUACAGCCGAGGAGAUGGGAGCUUAGUCUCAAAUCCAUCUCCCUGCUGUACUAAAACUAGAGGUUUAUAUAGCAGGGAAGAAGUGUAACAAUGUAUAACAAAAUAGGAACUAGGGAGGGGCAAGGAAGCAAUCAUGAUGAAUGAGGGGUCCAGCAUCUCAUUGUCCAUUGUCUGGAUGUGGUGAUUUUAUUUUAUUUUUUUUGAGACAGAGUCUUGCUCUGUCACCCAGGCUGGAGUGCAGUGGUGCCAUCUCAGUUCACAGUUCACUGUAACCGCUGCCUCCUGGGUUCAAGCGGUUCUCCUGCCUCAGCCUCCCGAGUAGCAGGGAUUACAGGCACAAACCACCAUGCCUGUUUUUUUUGUAUUUUUAUUUAUUUUAUUUUAUUUUUUUGAGACAGAGUCUUGCUUUGUCGCCCAGGCUGGAGUGCAGUGGCGCCAUCUUGGCUCUCUGCAACUUUUGCCUCCUGGGUUCAAGCAAUUCUCCUUCUCAGCCUCCUGGGUAGCUGGGAUUACAGGCGCCCACCACCACGCCCAGCUAAUUUUUUGGUAUUUUUAGUAGAGACGGGGUUUCACCAUCUUGGCCAGGCUGGUCUUGAACUCUUGACCUUGUGAUCUGCCCGCCUUGGCCUCCCAAAGUGCUGGUGAAAGGUGAAGCCGGCUGGGCUUCUGGGUCAUUUGGGGACUUGGAGAAUUUUCUGUCUAGCUAAAGGAUUGUAAAUGCGCCAGUCAGCGCUCUGUGUCUAGCUAAAGGUUUGUAAAUGCACCAAUCAGUGCUCUGUGUCUGGCUAAUGGGGUAGGGGACUUGGAGAACUUUUCUGUCCAGCUGAAGGAUUGUAAAUGCACCAAUCAGCACUCUGUGUCUAGGUUUGUAAAGGCUGCACCAGUCAGUGCUCUGUGUCUAGCUAAUCAGGUGGGGACUUGGAGAACUCUUGUGUCUAACUAAAGGAUUGUAAAUGCACCAAUCAGCACUCUGUGUCUAACUAAAGGAUUUUAAACGCACUCUAUAAAAUGGACCAAUCAGCAGGAUGUGGGUGGGGCCGAAAAGGGAAUAAAAGCAGGCCACCGAGGGAGCAGCGGAAACCCGCCAGGGUCCCCUUCCCUAUUGUGGGAGCUUUGUUCUUUUGCUGUUUGCAAUAAAUCUUGCUGCUGC